rnacentral:lncRNA from 1 species
UUAUUUUCAGAGAUUACAGGAUGAUUACUUCUAGAGGAUAGAGCCACGCUAGUCAAAAAGAGAGCUCCAAAAGACAAAGCUCUCGAGGAUAGAGCUCUCGAGGAGAGAGCUCUUGUGGGGCUAACUCAUAUGAUUCUGUGGCACUCACACUAUCGAUAAACUCUAACACUUUAAAAAUUUUCUUUUAGGUUAUUUUAUCCUUUAUUAUCUAAUAUAAUAUUCUUUAUGAUGUUUUACUACUCUCA